UGUCUACAGAGCCCAGCAGCCACAAGCCGGAGCGGCGGCGGGGUUGUAGUCGCCCCCUGGCGGGCUCCGGUAGCAACAGCCAUGUCCGGUUCCCUUUCCCUGUCAGCGGGCGGUGGGAGAAGGACUGGGCCUUCAGCGGGCAUGGCCGGGUCCCCAGCGGCAGGAGCCGGUGCAGCUGAGGAGUUAGUGAACCCCACGUACAGCACUCACUGCUGCAGCCUGCCUCGGGCAUGCGAGACUGAUGCCAAAACUCAACACUGGACUUACAGAAGCAAAAACCCCACAGUUAUAGGGGAAAAUGGUUAAAAAUAUAUCAUCAAUGCACCUUUCAGGUUAUACAUUUAAAAAUGUUUGCUCUGAGCUUUUAUAAUGGGGGGAUCAGCACAGAAAAUCUGUGUUUGCUGAAGCAUCAGGAAUUGAGAGCAGGAACUACCUGUAGUUUUCCUUUUGAUACACCAAUCCGUGGAACUUAACAGGCAUUUUCUCCUUUUAAAUACUUCCCUGCGGCAGGUUGUUCUAUCCCAUAGUUAUUUACUUGCUAAUAAAAGAGACUAUUUCAAAUGUGGACUAUAAAAUCUUCCAUGAUUUGUUAAAAGAUUAAUUCUUGCACUGGAAAGAAACUUGCACAAAAAGAACAUAAGAAAUGAAUUGCAGAAAUUGGAAUAUGCUUCCCCACACGCAGUAUGGAGCAUGCUCCGUCGCUGUUCCUGAAACCAGGCACCCAACUUAAAUGGGGAUGGCAGAAUUUUGCCCUCCAGACGCAACAGGAACUGCCUGUUCUGCUCAGGGAAAUGGUUAAGGCCAAAAUGUUUUUUUCAGGCAAUCUGGAUCUGUUUGAGGCCCUGAACUACAGUCCUGAAGGGUGAAGUCUUCUCUCUGGACUAGAAUUUGGGGUUUGUUCUGGCAAAUCAGUUCAGCUUUUCUGCUCUCCCUUGGCAGCAGGAUCUAGAGGGGUCACCUGUUAGAACUGAGGUGGUAGCCUGGUGUUUCAGUACUCAUUUCUGUCUUGGGCUGAAGUAAUUCCACACUUCCAGAAGGGCUGAGGCAGGACAGGAGGCAUUUUUCACCCACAGCUUGUGCUGGAUCACAUUAACAAUUAAAAUAGGUGAAGUGCCUUAGAAUCAUCCAUCUUACAGCGUGCAGCACUGCAAACAGCACUGGAGCUGGGAUGAACUAGUACUGAGCACAAGGCAAGGACUGCUGUGAACUCUCAGGGCCUCAUCUCUAGAGUCUGCUUGAUGUGUGCUGGAUGAAAACCUGAUUGCUGUGAUAAAUUGCUGUUUCCAGUGGUCAUCUCAGAGUCUAUCAGGAUGGAUGUGGUGGAAGGUAAAUGAAAACCCGGGGUGGUAAUUGUAGCUUCUGAUACAGCUUUGGGGACAACUUCAGUGGUGUUAUUGGCACUGCCAAGUACAGGUGCGAUGGUCAUGGUAUGAGCAGUACGUGAUGCUGUGGUUGUAGAAACCAGUGCAGUAGUUGAAGUCAUUGGAAGAUCUGAAAAACAAGAGCAACAUGAUAUUUGGUUAAAGUCAGUACACAAAGUCAGUACACAAAUGGUGCUAUAAACCUGGGGAGGAUUGUUAUGUUUAAUGAUUAGAAGCAGAAAACCAAAUUCCAAUUCUAUCUAUCAAGCAGUCAGACUAUUGAUAGGUCUCUGCCUGAAGCUACAGAAAUGAUUUCCUGAAGUCAGGCUGAAAUUAUUAACAGUAAUAAAGCAUCUGGAUGGAGGGUUGUUGAGAAGUUAAACAACUCAUGGUUUGUUCUGUUAUUUUCUCAGUACCUCAGAAGACAAUGACUUUGUACCAGGGAACUGAAUUCUGCACGUUAGGGAAGACUCACUGAAACCACUUGUCUCUUCAGGAUAUCAUCAGGAUUGACUGUGGUCCCUCCAGAUCCAGUAUCAACGUGGCAGAUCUUACUGAUUUAUUGACCAUUCACACUGUUAGUACUGGGUCUUAUCCUUUCUUUCUCUGUCUUCCUGUAUCUUACGCUUUGCAAACCAAGCAAGCUUUCAGUAAAGGGCACCACAAUACCGUGUUCAGAAGGCAGCAUGUGGUGGAAUACACAAGCCAGCAUAUUCACUGUAAGUAUGAUGGUUGGAGUAGCACAAGAGUGAUGUGAUUGUCUUUACCUUUGAAGCAUUUUUUCAUGUCAGGACCCAGCCACAUGUUGUCAGGACAGGCACAGGUGUACUUGGGAGAAUGGGGAGAGAUCUGAGGUGCAGGGAGACACAAAUACUCGCAGCCUCCAUUUGGCUGGGGGCUGAGCUCACAGGAAUCUGGAGCUGUUCAAGGAUGGAAAAAAAGACAAGUUAUUUUUCUAAUUAUUUAUUUCUUGUUCUUGGCAAAGAAAUACCAGUUCAAGAAGACUCUUCCACUCCCUACCUCACUUAACUGGGCUGCUUAAACACCUCUAGUUUGGAGUAGAGUGAGACUUUACACUGCAGGCAAAACUGCUCAAACAUGAGAUGAAUGGUAGGCAGCACAGUGACAAGGGUAACUCACUGUUAUCAGAGGUGUUAAUUAAACAGCUAUUAACAAAUUGCAGAGUUCUCAAGAAUUGCUGCUGAAUUAAUCAUGCAGGAACUUCAGACUUUAGGCACUGAUUUCACAUUAUUACCUGUGCUUUCUCUCUCAUUGAGGGCCACUAGGAAGCAUUUCAUUUCCUAGCUCAAAUAAACCUCAUUUAGGCCUUACCUUUGGGCUGCUUUAACUCGUGGAAUACCACAAUGUCAUGAGGAUUAUUGAGGUUUUCUGCCAGAAUGGAGAUGUCCAAACCAUUCAGCCUGUUGGCGCUGAAGAUCGCUUCAUUCUCCAGGUCAGUCCAGAACACUCUGUCCUGCAGGAAACAUCACACUGAUGAACUCCUCAAAUCCAACUCAAGUUGGAUUAAACUCCAGUAGUCUGUCACUGCACUGUCUUUCUACCCUGGGGCACCUCUGGUUCACACCAUGGCAGCUUUAUGGGUUUUUUUUUGGGCACUGGCAUUUUGAAUGUUCAAAAGCACAGCAACCCUACAUGUCUACAAAGUGCUUAGCCAUUUUAGUAGCUAUGAGACUGAGAUGAGGGAGAAGAAAGUGCAGAGUUGCAUCCAUUCCAUUUCUCAACUGUUUGCUUUUUAAAAGACAGGCUGGAGCACAAACAGAACCUAAAGGCCACACCAAAAACCUUAGCUUUGCAGUUUUUUUCCGCUUUCCAAGGUUAAGACCUGCAUUGAACAGGUAUCCAUGAAGAGGCCACUGCCUACAGCACACCUGGGGUGAAUAUCUAUUUAUUAAUAUCUUUUGCAUGGCAUACUAUGACUUAAGAUGCAAAAUAACUGGUCAAGGAGGUACACAGGAACUGCAGUUAUCAAACUGUAUUUAGUAUUUAUCAAACUAUUGCUUGCUCAGCUAUGUGUGCUGCUGCCUGCUCAACUCAUGUGUAAUACAGUAAGGAAAGCCACAUUACUGGAG